GCUAUUCCCUCCCCAGAAGCUUGAAUAGUUGCGAACUAGUAAAUUCUAGUUAAACUAUAUGAGGUCGACUGUUUGCCACCGGGUCUCUGGGGAUUUGAAAUCUUGUUGUUUGUCGUCAAAAAGUGGUUAUAAUUUGGUCCUCAGAACUCGUUAACACCAUCCUACUCAAGGAUGUACCCGUAUUGGGAAUCUGUUUUGCUCAUGCUGCGCAGUAUUUCUAAAGCGUUUGGGGCUGGCUUCUGGGGAUUAGGAACAAGAACUGAUCGAUGUUGUUAUUGGAAAAAGGAGGGGAAAAGGAAACAAACAAAUCAAGCAAUCAAC
rnacentral:sRNA from 1 species